AAAGGAAUAAAAGAAAGUCUUUAAAAGAGCUCUAAGACGUAUCAAAAAUUGCAUGAAUCCAUAUUUUGGUAUUUGUGCCCCAAUGCUCUUAUUAUCAUAAAAGAACUUUGAAGUUAUUAAGAAUUAAUGAUCCAACAUGAUGUUAUGUUUUUCAAGUAUAUAAGUUUUGAUCUUAUACUCUAAAAAUUAAUUAAAUUGCUCUCAUGUUGAUAAAAUACUUAAUAUAUUGGGUAAAAGAUCUUAAAUGAACAAGCUUUCAUACUUAUUAUUGAAGAGAGGUUAGAUUUCCAUUCG
rnacentral:lncRNA from 1 species